rnacentral:lncRNA from 1 species
AUCUAUACAUAUAUUAAAGCAAAGAAUUUUGGGGGAGUGUGUUCCCGCCAAUUGCAGCAUUGUUUAGCCCAGAGGAUGCUGCUCGAAUUGUCUGCUGGUUAACAGAAGCUAUGCAGAUUUGUAUGCUAUCCAGCUGGCUCCAGCUGGUUCCAUUAAUAAAGUACACAAAAAUUGGCGGCCAAAUGAAUAUUUGAAUUUUAAAAUGUGCUCACUUUGGAGCCAAUUUGUUAAACAACUCAGCCUAUAAAUAUGAGAUUAUUUCACAAUACAUUUUCAUAACGCAGACUUUAUCUCUCUAUAUUUGUUGUAAUUUCUCUCUCUAUUCUUAAUUUUCUUAGUUGUUCCAAAUCUUUUUAUGUUCUAUUUUUAUGGGUUUAUGUUCUCAUGCUGCACUUUCAUUUUAAUUUCGUUUAGUUUUAAUGGCGAUUUACGGUCUCAACAAUAUUUAUUUCUAUUUGAUGCAUAAACUCUAAAUCUGGAAUAUAAAUAGCUAAUAUUUCUGAAUUUUAUCUGCAGAUGAAGGCUUGAAUCUGGAGCAUGGGAACCUCUCGAAUUCUGCAAAAGCAACAAAUAAAUGGUUUGUGAAUAUUCCAGAUUUAUAGGAAAAAUUGAUAAAAGUAACUAAUAUUUAUUUAUAAAUUUUCUCAACAGAUCAAUGGAGCACGGAAGAUCUGCAAAAGCAUCAAUCUUUCAAUGGAGCAUGGAAGAUCUACAAAAGCCACAAAAAAAUUAUUUUAGUGUAUAUUCAAGAUUGGAGCAUGGAAGAUCUACAAAAGUCCACAAAAAAAUUGUUUUAGUGUAUAUUCAAGAUUUACAGCAAGUAGGUAUAAAGAAGAAGAAACGGUAUAUUCAAGAUUUACAGCAAGUAGGCAUCAAGAAGAAGAAUUACAUAUCAUCCCUUAAAGGGUUUCCUCAUGUUAAUUUUUCAGUAAAAAAAUAAAGCAAUACAUUAUAAUCACAUGCAAAUACAUAUAUACAUUUCGAUAUUUCGAUAGGUUUCAAAUCCAAUAAUUUAUUGUAUAUUAUCUUUCAUUUUCAUUAGUUUUUCAUUUAUAUAAUAUUGAAAUAGUUUCAUUAUGUAUAUUUAUUUUCCUUUUAGCAUGCGUUCCUAUCUGUGCCAUAACUUUUCAUUUACUGCUUUUGCUUUCCAUCUAAAGCCAGACUCAUCAGAAUUGUGAAAAUAGUGUCAAAUAGCAAGUUAGAGAAAAUAUUUUAAAUCACAAAAAAUCUGAUCUAAAUUUUUUAAGAUAGUGAUGAUACUUUUUUUUCAAAAAAAGCUGCGAGUGCUUGACAGAGACCAACGGUGGUAGUGGACUUGCCUUCACAACGGAGUGAUACCCCCAACAACCACCCAAUACAGAUCUCGACUUCCUCCAUGUUCAACCAGCGCCGACACCAACACCUGAAAAUUAACUCUUUUUUAGUACAGACAAAGAGAUAAAACAAAAGUUAGAACUAUGCAACAAAAAAAGUUCGAACACAAAUAGGGAAACUGUGUCAAAAGAGUAGAUGAUUGCUAAUUAUUUAUCGAAGAUGAUGAAAGAGGAGUAUAGAGUAGAUUCAUACUAAUCUGCAAAAAAAAAGGAAAAAAAAACUAUUCUUUUAAGAACCCAUUUGUGUAGAUAUUCGUAGAUCUAACAAAAUAAUACCAUAAACACAAAAAAAAAAACUCAAAAACGAAAAAACUAAUAUGGCUACAAAAUUAGAGAUCUUAUUCGGUGUUAAUUAAAAANAAGCUCAUCGGCAGAAAAAAAAAAAUUAUUCUUUUCAAAUGAUAUUCGUAUAUCUACAAAAAUGAUACUAUAAAAACAAAAAACAAAAAAUAAUAAACGAAAAAAAAUUAGAUCUUAUGCAGAGGGAGGCGGCGAGAGUCGUCGACAGGAACUUGGGCGACGCCGUCGUUUGAAACCCGGACGUCGGCAGCUGGAUACGGGCUGUGCAGAGGGAGGCGGCGAGAGUCGUCGACAGGAACUUCACUCCGGCUCCUCCACCACCGUACGAAGAUGUGGUGGCGUUAGCGGCUGCUUCUCCUUUUUCGCUGUCAGUAUUUUCGUCCGAUUCUGAAAUUUAGGUGUUCAGAGAGAAGAGGUGAGAGGGGGCGAAAGCUAGGGUUUUAUUUUUGGGAGUGGCCAAAGAAAACGAUGCAGACGAGGGAGAAGAGAAAAAGGGAAUAUGGAGAAGGCUGGAAGAAGGUGAAUAUGGAGAAGCGGGAAUUGAAGGGGAAAUGAUGCAGACGAGGGAGGAGGAAAAGGGAAGAUCUGGAGUUUGGAAGUUUCGAGAUAGCAGCGCCGCUCAUGUGUGGUAAACCCUCAAAUGAGAGAAGUAUUAUGUACACCCUAAAAUGAGGGAGUAAUUAAUUAAUAGUUGGGCUUUAUCUAUGGGCUUAUUGUGGGCUAGCCAUUUACAC